rnacentral:lncRNA from 1 species
GCUGUUCAAUAUAUAUUUGCAUGUCCAGUCGUGUCAAAUGUAGUUAAUUUCCAUACAGAGAGAGCUUAUCUAAAGGCAUCUUUAAUACUGCAACAAACAUGCCCCCCUGCUUUGUACAGCUUUACAUGGUUCUCUAGUUAUAUUAGUCCGAAGAGUUUGUUUGUGCAUUUGUGGUCUACUGCAAACCAUACCUGGAUUUGCUCUUGAGAGCAUUACCUUGGUCUCUUUUUUUUUGCAAGGUCCCUAUCAUCAAACAUUUCCUAUGAAAUUGCCUACAUUGUUUGCAAGUAACUAAAGUUGCGAGAGCUGAGUCAAUUCAGCUUCUUGUCUUGCAUUGCUGUAAUAAUAAUAAUCUAUUUUUGCAUAUCAUAUGUAUUUGAUACCAAUGAUGCCUAUGAUGACUUGCAAGAUUAUUGCCUACAUUGUUUGACAAGUAUCUUUGUGAUAUUAAUUGCAAGUAGCUGAGGCUUGAGAUGCUAUCACAAUUUUUCUUGCUGCAUUGCAUCAGCACUCAUACGUCCUAAUUAACUAACUUGUAUUGUUGCCAACUAGUCAUUUUAUUUGUUUUUGUAAAUCCUGACUCUCUGCUUAUGAUGAGUUGCAAUAUCUUUUGCCUACAUUGUCUGACAAAUGUUGUCAUGAUAAUAUUUGCAACCUCUGAGGCAUAAAGCACUGUCAUUGGUUUUUCUUUUUGUUCUUCUAGAAUAAAGAAUGUAAUUCAUUGUCUUUCUUUACCUAUGAUGAGUUGCGAAAUUUAUUGCCUGCAUUGUUUGAUUAAACCUGUGAGAAAAUUUGCAACAUCUGAGGAUAAAAAGUUACUCCUUUUACUUGAUUUUCUGCUGGUUGUUUUUUCUUUUUUUUUUUCUUCUAGAAAAUAUGAGUGCAAUUCAUUGUUUUUCUUUACCUAUGAUGAGUUGUGAAAUUUAUUGCCUACAUUGUUUGACUAACCUGUGAGAAAAUUUGCAACAUCUGAGGAUAAAAAGUUACCCCUUUACUUGAUUUUCUGCUGGUUGGUUUAUCUUUUAUUACUUUAGAAAAGAAGAGGGCAAUUCAUUGCCUUUUUUUUAACCUAUGAUGAGUUGCAAAAUUUAUUGCCUACAUUGUUUGACUAACCUGUGAGAAACAAUUGCAACAUCUGAGGAUAAAAAGAUGUAGUUCACUUGGCUUUCUGGUGGAUUUUUCUUAAUAUAUCGAGAGUUUUUUUUGUUGGCGCCCGUUAGUACAAGUUGUGACCCUUGUUUAGGUGCCAGUGGAUUGAUGUAUUAUUGUCAUCCAAAUCAUGCCAUUUCUCGUUAUUGCUUCGUCAAGCCAAAUAUUGACUGCUGGUUUUGUUUACCCUCCGCAG